UACUGGAAUAAGCUCUCAAUUGUUUCCAGAAAUAUCGUCAUAGAUUGCAUUGCCAUCUAGAACUUAUAUGUCCACAGCCAACCCAUGACAAAACACAUUUUUAUCCAUGUCAAAAAUAUAGAGGAUAUAAAUUUAAUUUAAUCUACAUUCCUCAUAUUUGUAGCCAUUAAAAUUAAGUAAACAUCAAAACAAGGAGCAAAAAGAGUGAAAAAAAAAAAGCCAAGGGGGGCCAGUUAAGGCGUCAUCCUCCUCCUCAAAUGUAAAGUCACAUUUUUCUGCUAGAUUCCUCUUCUAUGCUUCUGUUAAACUCUAGACUAGAAACAAAAACCAUAACGAAGUAUCUUCACAGAAAAUACAUCAAGCAAGCAAUUUCAAGCAUAGUUGAACUUUUUCCUUGAGUCUCGAGAUAGCAAAAUCGAUAUUUCCUAACUUUUCUUGCUAAAUUUAGUUCAUGUAAACCUAUCAGUAUAUACACAUACAUGCAUAUAGACAAAUAUAAAAUUGAGUACAAUAACAUGAGCAUGAAAUAGUGCCAACUUGAUGCAUUUACAUUUUACAUGCAUUUCCAUAAUUCAUACAAGAUUCAACCUAGAAGAACCACUCAUGAUGAUUAUUACUUCCAAAAUUUGAAGAAUCAUCUGGGUUAUAAGUUAUAACUGCUAAACUGGAAAAGGAAGAAGAGAUGGGUACUUAAGCCACGUUGCUGCAAUGCAUCGCAUCACGAUACAGGACAAGGACAGGCACAGGUGUUUCAACAUAGUUAGCAGUACAUAGUAACAUAUCAAAGUGGCAAGGUAAUUCCGAACAGGGACAAACUAUGUUCUUCCUGUUAUUGUUCCUUCCUAAAUAUAUUGUGAUCAUUGUUUCACUGUUUGAAAAAUACUAAAAUAUCGAAAUAAUGAUUAUAUAACCCUUACUAAUUCCUUAAUCAUUGCAUAACCAAUUUAAAACUAGCCUGAUCAUUACAAAAACCUCAUGCAGAAAUUCGGAAAUAUCCACCACGCUAACAAUGCCAGCCAUAGUAAGUCGUUAUUGUUAAAGAAUAAAGAGGAGGAAAGAAUAAGAAGAAGAAUUCUCAUUAUAAUGAACAGAGAGGUAUCAGCAAGGUGAACAUGACAAGCCUUUAACCAUUGUCUAACUAAUCUGACACAAACCCUGAUUACCAUUAUGAAAUCUCUGUCCUGAAACUCAGAAAUACCCCCACAUCAACAUCUUCUAAAAUGUCAUUGCCACCAUGCCAACAACUCUAGCCACAGUAAGUAACUAUGUUAAAAGAAUAAAGAGGAAGCUCAAGCAAGGCAAAUAUGCCAGCCCCUGGCAACCCAUUGUAGUAACAAUCCGAAUACUAUAUCACACCAUUUGAUGCUGACCAUCAGCAUCAACAGAAUUCAUGACUACCUCGUAUCUCUGAACCAAAAGCAGCCUAUUAAAAAUUUAUAAUUCAUUGAUAACCAAAUCAAGGGAAGGCUACCACAUGUUCUCAAUCUUCGACACUUUGACGUCAAACCUGAUAAAAGUUUGAUGAACAUGUUUAUUAGAAAUAAGAGGUCUGGUAUGGGAUGACGAGUUAGAAGAUCCAUAUGCAAAUAACUUCUUUUUUUUUUUC
rnacentral:lncRNA from 1 species